GAUGAACGCUGGCGGCGUGCCUAAUACAUGCAAGUCGAGCGAACAGACGAGGAUCUUGCUCCUCUGACGUUAGCGGCGGACGGGUGAGUAACACGUGGAUAACCUACCUAUAAGACUGGGAUAACUUCGGGAAACCGGAGCUAAUACCGGAUAAUAUAUUGAACCGCAUGGUUCAAUAGUGAAAUACGGUUUUUCUGUCACUUAUAGAUGGAUCCGCGCCGCAUUAGCUAGUUGGUAAGGUAACGGCUUACCAAGGCGACGAUGCGUAGCCGACCUGAGAGGGUGAUCGGCCACACUGGAACUGAGACACGGUCCAGACUCCUACGGGAGGCAGCAGUAGGGAAUCUUCCGCAAUGGGCGAAAGCAUGACGGAGCAACGCCGCGUGAGUGAUGAAGGUCUUCGGAUCGUAAAACUCUGUUAUUAGGGAAGAACAAAUGUGUAAGUAACUAUGCACGUCUUGACGGUACCUAAUAAGAAAGCCACGGCUAACUACGUG
rnacentral:rRNA from 1 species